GGCCCAGUGGUGAAAUGAAUCAUGCCUGCUACCUAUUCCAUUUAUCCAUGUGUGAAGCAGGAGUCUCCGGUUCGAUUCCGGGCUAGGUCG